UCCCUACGUUCGGAUUGUAGGCUGAAACUACGCCUACAUGAAGCUGGAAUUGCUAGUAAUCACAGGUCAGCAUACUGUGGUGAAUACGUUCCCGGGCCUUGUACACACCGCCCGUCACACCAUGAGAGUUGAGAAUACCCGAAGCCCAUGUCAAAGUGGUCGAAGGUAGGCUUGAUGAUUGGGGUGAAGUCGUAACAAGGUAAC
rnacentral:rRNA from 1 species